UACGUAGGGACCGAGCGUUGUCCGGAAUCAUUGGGCGUAAAGAGCGUGUAGGCGGCUAUUUAAGUCCUGCGUGAAAUCCCACGGCUCAACCGUGGAACUGCUGGGCAUACUGCGGGUCUUGGGCCAACUAGGGGCAGCCGGAACAAGCGGUGGAGCGGUGAAAUGCGUAGAUAUCGCUUGGAACGCCGAAGGUGAAAACAGGCUGCUGGGGUUGCGCCGACGCUGAGACACGAAAGCCAGGGGAGCAAACGGG
rnacentral:rRNA from 1 species